rnacentral:rRNA from 1 species
GACGAACGCUGGCGGCGUGCUUAACACAUGCAAGUCGAACGAUGAUGCCCAGCUUGCUGGGUGGAUUAGUGGCGAACGGGUGAGUAACACGUGAGUAACCUGCCCCUGACUCUGGGAUAAGCGUUGGAAACGACGUCUAAUACUGGAUAUGACUGCCGGCCGCAUGGUCUGGUGGUGGAAAGAUUUUUUGGUUGGGGAUGGACUCGCGGCCUAUCAGCUUGUUGGUGAGGUAAUGGCUCACCAAGGCGACGACGGGUAGCCGGCCUGAGAGGGUGACCGGCCACACUGGGACUGAGACACGGCCCAGACUCCUACGGGAGGCAGCAGUGGGGAAUAUUGCACAAUGGGCGAAAGCCUGAUGCAGCAACGCCGCGUGAGGGAUGACGGCCUUCGGGUUGUAAACCUCUUUUAGUAGGGAAGAAGCGUAAGUGACGGUACCUGCAGAAAAAGCACCGGCUAACUACGUGCCAGCAGCCGCGGUAAUACGUAGGGUGCAGAGCGUUGUCCGGAAUUAUUGGGCGAAGAGCUCCGUAGGCGGUUUGUCGCGUCUGCUGUGAAAUCCCGAGGCUCAACCUCGGGCUAUGCAGUGGGUACGGGCAGACUAGAGUGCGGUAGGGGAGAUUGGAAUUCCUGGUGUAGCGGUGGAAUGCGCAGAUUCAGGAGGAACAACCGAUGGCGAAGGAGAGUCUCUGGGCCGUAACUGACGCUGAGGAGCGAAAGCGUGGGGAGCGAACAGGAUUAGAUACCCUGGUAGUCCACGCCGUAAACGUUGGGCGCUAGAUGUAGGGACCUUUCCACGGUUUCUGUGUCGUAGCUAACGCAUUAAGCGCCCCGCCUGGGGAGUACGGCCGCAAGGCUAAAACUCAAGGAAUUGACGGGGGCCCGCACAAGCGGCGGAGCAUGCGGAUUAAUUCGAUGCAACGCGAAGCAACCUUACCAAGGCUUGACAUACACCGGAAACGGCCAGAGAUGGUUGCCCCCUUGUGGUCGGUGUACAGGUGGUGCAUGGUUGUCGUCAGCUCGUGUCGUGAGAUGUUGGGUUAAGUCCCGCAACGAGCGCAACCCUCGUUCUAUGUUGCCAGCGCGUUAUGGCGGGGAUCAUAGGAGAGCUGCCGGGGUCAACUCGGAGGAAGGUGGGGAUGACGUCAAAUCAUCAUGCCCCUUAUGUCUUGGGCUUCACGCAUGCUACAAUGGCCGGUACAAAGGGCUGCGAUACCGUAAGGUGGAGCGAAUCCCAAAAAGCCGGUCUCAGUUCGGAUUGAGGUCUGCAACUCGACCUCAUGAAGUCGGAGUCGCUAGUAAUCGCAGAUCAGCAACGCUGCGGUGAAUACGUUCCCGGGCCUUGUACACACCGCCCGUCAAGUCAUGAAAGUCGGUAACACCCGAAGCCGGUGGCCUAACCCUUGUGGAAGGAGCCGUCGAAGGUGGGAUCGGUGAUUAGGACUAAGUCGUAACAAGGUAGCCGUACCGG